rnacentral:lncRNA from 1 species
GGUCCAGUGUAUGAACUGAAUGGGACGGUCUACAGCCAAGAGUGGUUGGUGAGGACUUAUGAAGAAGUGGCUCAUAAUUUUGCAAAAGCGCAUCCUGGGUUUAUUGGAAUCAAACUCAUUUUUUCAGAUAACAGAACCAAAAACGAGUCCCUCAUCAAGAAAUCCAUCCAGACAGCCAUGGGUCUUCGAGUCAAGUUCCCUGGGAUAGUGGCGGGGUUUGACCUGGUGGGGCGCGAGGACACGGGCCACACCCUGUAUGACUACAGGGAGGCUUUGAUGAUUCCAGCCUCUCAGGGCGUUCAUCUGCCUUACUUCUUCCACGCGGGAGAGACUGAUUUGGAGGGAACUCCCGUAGACAGAAAUCUUCUGGAUGCUGUGAUACUGAACUCGACCCGGAUCGGCCAUGGGUUUGCUUUGAGCAAGCACCCGGCAGUCUUGGCUGAAGCCUGGAAAAAGGACAUCCCCAUUGAAGUCUGUCCCAUCUCCAACCAGGUCCUGAAGCUGGUGUCCGACCUGAGAAACCACCCCGCCGCCGUCAUGAUGGCUGCUGGGUACCCCAUGGUGAUCAGCUCAGACGACCCCUCAGCCUUUGGGGCCAGAGGCCUGUCCUACGAUUUCUACGAGGCCUUCAUGGGCAUCGGCGGAAUGUCGGCCGACCUGAGGACGCUCAAACAACUGGCCAUCAACUCCAUCAGGUACAGCACCCUGUCGGAGACCAUGAAGAAGUCUGCCAUGGAGACCUGGGAGGAGAGGUGGCAGAAGUUUGUAGCUGGGCUGGCCAGGGGCCCCAAGUGA